rnacentral:lncRNA from 10 species
CAAGGAUAUGACCUAGCAAGUCUGAAUGCACUUUCUCAUUUUUCUCAUAUUUUCACAUUUAUCUCUCCUUCAUUCAGAAGCAUUUGUCAAUCUGCCUCUAUCCAUGGCAGCCCUUCUUAUUUUAAUGUUCUCACUCUUACCCACAAACUAAAUUUACAUUUCUUGCUGUUAUAAAUUUUAUAUUUUUGUGUGUGGAGAAACAUUCCAUCAAGAAGACUGAAGCCCAGUAAACUCCCAAAGACAAGACUUUCAGAAGGCAGGUAUGGUCAAGAGAGACACUGGAAGAUGGAAGUUACUUCAGUGUUCCAGUUGCUGGUGUAGCCAGGGCUUCACAGCGUGGAAGUAUGGCAUCAUGAUGUCUACUGCACAUCUAUUCCCAACCCCAUAUUCAGUUGUUUCAUGUAGUCUCUUGAAAUCUAUGGAAACUAGAAAACACUACAAAUAAAGCCUUGAUUUAUUGUUUUGUUGAUUGUCUUGACUUAAGAAACUGAUAGACAAUGUGUUAUUAAUGCAGAUUAAACUUAAAAAUGUUUACCUCAGUGGCCGUUAUACUGUGAAUACCACAAAAACUGAGCAAAUAUUUUUCUAGUAUUUGAAAAGUAUUAUCCAAUUCAGCAAAUAAUGUCACUUUUAAGUGAAUAAAGUAUGGGCAUGCCUUCAUUGCUUUAGUUUCUUGUUACUUGUAAACAC